GAUGAACGCUGGCGGCGUGCCUAAUACAUGCAAGUCGAGCGAACGGACGAGAAGCUUGCUUCUCUGAUGUUAGCGGCGGACGGGUGAGUAACACGUGGAUAACCUACCUAUAAGACUGGGAUAACUUCGGGAAACCGUAGCUAAUACCGGAUAAUAUUUUGAACCGCAUGGUUCAAAAGUGAAAGACGGUCUUGCUGUCACUUAUAGAUGGAUCCGCGCUGCAUUAGCUAGUUGGUAAGGUAACGGCUUACCAAGGCAACGAUGCAUAGCCGACCUGAGAGGGUGAUCGGCCACACUGGAACUGAGACACGGUCCAGACUCCUACGGGAGGCAGCAGUAGGGAAUCUUCCGCAAUGGGCGAAAGCCUGACGGAGCAACGCCGCGUGAGUGAUGAAGGUCUUCGGAUCGUAAAACUCUGUUAUUAGGGAAGAACAUAUGUGUAAGUAACUGUGCACAUCUUGACGGUACCUAAUCAGAAAGCCACGGCUAACUACGUGCCAGCAGCCGCGGUAAUACGUAGGUGGCAAGCGUUAUCCGGAAUUAUUGGGCGUAAAGCGCGCGUAGGCGGUUUUUUAAGUCUGAUGUGAAAGCCCACGGCUCAACCGUGGAGGGUCAUUGGAAACUGGAAAACUUGAGUGCAGAAGAGGAAAGUGGAAUUCCAUGUGUAGCGGUGAAAUGCGCAGAGAUAUGGAGGAACACCAGUGGCGAAGGCGACUUUCUGGUCUGUAACUGACGCUGAUGUGCGAAAGCGUGGGGAUCAAACAGGAUUAGAUACCCUGGUAGUCCACGCCGUAAACGAUGAGUGCUAAGUGUUAGGGGGUUUCCGCCCCUUAGUGCUGCAGCUAACGCAUUAAGCACUCCGCCUGGGGAGUACGACCGCAAGGUUGAAACUCAAAGGAAUUGACGGGGACCCGCACAAGCGGUGGAGCAUGUGGUUUAAUUCGAAGCAACGCGAAGAACCUUACCAAAUCUUGACAUCCUUUGACAACUCUAGAGAUAGAGCCUUCCCCUUCGGGGGACAAAGUGACAGGUGGUGCAUGGUUGUCGUCAGCUCGUGUCGUGAGAUGUUGGGUUAAGUCCCGCAACGAGCGCAACCCUUAAGCUUAGUUGCCAUCAUUAAGUUAGGCACUCUAAGUUGACUGCCGGUGACAAACCGGAGGAAGGUGGGGAUGACGUCAGAUCAUCAUGCCCCUUAUGAUUUGGGCUACACACGUGCUACAAUGGACAAUACAAAGGGCAGCGAAACCGCGAGGUCAAGCAAAUCCCAUAAAGUUGUUCUCAGUUCGGAUUGUAGUCUGCAACUCGACUACAUGAAGCUGGAAUCGCUAGUAAUCGUAGAUCAGCAUGCUACGGUGAAUACGUUCCCGGGUCU
rnacentral:rRNA from 1 species